rnacentral:rRNA from 1 species
AUUGAACGCUGGCGGCAGGCCUAACACAUGCAAGUCGAGCGCGAAAACACUUCGGUGUGAGUAAAGCGGCGGACGGGUGAGUAACGCGUAGGAAUCUACCUAGUAGUGGGGGACAACUCGGGGAAACUCGAGCUAAUACCGCAUACGCCCUACGGGGGAAAGCGGGGGACCUUCGGGCCUCGUGCUAUUAGAUGAGCCUGCGUUGGAUUAGCUAGUUGGUGGGGUAAAGGCCUACCAAGGCGACGAUCCAUAGCUGGUCUGAGAGGAUGAUCAGCCACACCGGGACUGAGACACGGCCCGGACUCCUACGGGAGGCAGCAGUGGGGAAUAUUGCGCAAUGGGCGAAAGCCUGACGCAGCCAUGCCGCGUGUGUGAAGAAGGCCUUCGGGUUGUAAAGCACUUUCAAUUGGGAGGAAAGGUUCACGGUUAAUAACCGUGAGCUGUGACGUUACCUUUAGAAGAAGCACCGGCUAACUCCGUG